GACGAACGCUGGCGGCGUGCCUAAUACAUGCAAGUAGAACGCUGAAGGAGGAGCUUGCUUCUCUGGAUGAGUUGCGAACGGGUGAGUAACGCGUAGGUAACCUGCCUGGUAGCGGGGGAUAACUAUUGGAAACGAUAGCUAAUACCGCAUAAUAGCAGUUAUUGCAUGAUAACUGUUUGAAAGGUGCAAUUGCACCACUACCAGAUGGACCUGCGUUGUAUUAGCUAGUUGGUGGGGUAACGGCUCACCAAAGCGACGAUACAUAGCCGACCUGAGAGGGUGAUCGGCCACACUGGGACUGAGACACGGCCCAGACUCCUACGGGAGGCAGCAGUAGGGAAUCUUCGGCAAUGGACGGAAGUCUGACCGAGCAACGCCGCGUGAGUGAAGAAGGUUUUCGGAUCGUAAAGCUCUGUUGUAAGAGAAGAACGAGUGUGAGAGUGGAAAGUUCACACUGUGACGGUAGCUUACCAGAAAGGGACGGCUAACUACGUG
rnacentral:rRNA from 1 species